GACGAACGCUGGCGGCGUGCUUAACACAUGCAAGUCGAGCGGUAAGGCCCCUUCGGGGGUACACGAGCGGCGAACGGGUGAGUAACACGUGGGUGACCUGCUCUCAGCUCUGGGAUAAGCCUGGGAAACCGGGUCUAAUACUGGAUAUGACUCCAUGACGCAUGUUGUGGGGUGGAAAGCCUUGUGCGGCUGAGGAUGGGCCCGCGGCCUAUUAGCUUGUUGGUGGGGUGANGGCCUACCAAGGCGACGACGGGUAGCCGGCCUGAGAGGGCGACCGGCCACACUGGGACUGAGACACGGCCCAGACUCCUACGGGAGGCAGCAGUGGGGAAUCUUGCGCAAUGGGCGAAAGCCUGACGCAGCGACGCCGCGUGAGGGAUGACGGCCU
rnacentral:rRNA from 1 species